rnacentral:rRNA from 1 species
UACAGAGGGUGCGAGCGUUAAUCGGAAUUACUGGGCGUAAAGCGCACGUAGUCGGCUUUGCAAGUCGGUUGUGAAAUCCCCGGGCUCAACCUGGGAACUGCAUCCGAGACUGCAUUGCUAGAGUAUGGGAGAGGAAAGCGGAAUUUCUGGUGUAGCAGUGAAAUGCGUAGAUAUCAGAAGGAACAUCAGUGGCGAAGGCG